CAUUCCGAACACAGAAGUUAAGCUCCUUAGCGCUGAAGGUACUUGGUGGGAAGCUGCCUGGGAGAAUAGGACGUAGCCACGU
rnacentral:rRNA from 1 species